AGGACUCUCGGCGCUGAACAGUUGUGUGAAAACAAGAUUAAUUAAGAAUUAAAAAUAAAAAGAGAUCAUUGGGUUUGGACAAAAAUAAUAAAAUAAAAUAAAAUGCAUUUGAUCAAUGGCAAAGGAACACAGAGAUGAAUGGAGGUUGAUUUAUAUGAGAUGGAUAUGUUAUUGGGGUUAGAUUUCACCAAGUUUUCUCUCAUGUAUAUAAGAAUUCUUCUUUAUGCAAUAAUGCCAACGUCCCUCACUAAAUCACUUAAACCCAAUUCCUCGGUAAAUAAGUCUGUCCCUAAUUACCAGUUCAUACAAUU
rnacentral:lncRNA from 1 species